rnacentral:rRNA from 1 species
AAUAGAUCCCGGGUAGUCCACGCCGUAAACGAUGAGUGCUAAGUGUUAGGGGGUUUCCGCCCCUUAGUGCUGCAGCUAACGCAUUAAGCACUCCGCCUGGGGAGUACGGUCGCAAGACUGAAACUCAAAGGAAUUGACGGGGGCCCGCACAAGCGGUGGAGCAUGUGGUUUAAUUCGAAGCAACGCGAAGAACCUUACCAGGUCUUGACAUCCCACUGACCGCUAUGGAGACAUAGUUUUCCCUUCGGGGACAGUGGUGACAGGUGGUGCAUGGUUGUCGUCAGCUCGUGUCGUGAGAUGUUGGGUUAAGUCCCGCAACGAGCGCAACCCUUGAUCUUAGUUGCCAUCAUUUAGUUGGGCACUCUAAGGUGACUGCCGGUGACAAACCGGAGGAAGGUGGGGAUGACGUCAAAUCAUCAUGCCCCUUAUGACCUGGGCUACACACGUGCUACAAUGGACGGUACAAACGGUUGCCAACCCGCGAGGGGGAGCUAAUCCGAUAAAACCGUUCUCAGUUCGGAUUGUAGGCUGCAACUCGCCUAC